CUUUUUUUUUUUUUUUUUUUUUUUUUUUUGGUGUGUGGGGGGAUCAUUAUUCUGUGUAACACAGCUGACAAAGCUGGUAUUAAAUAUCACCUGUGGACAGACAGCUUCCUAAUGCCAAACUCUGGAAUUAAAUACAUAUACUUUCUUUGUAGCCCUGGACUAGGCACCCUUGUCCCUACCCAUAGGCCCUGCUCCAGGAAAAAUGGAAAAGAACAUCAGGAUAGUUCCCUGAAGAUUGUUAUCUUUUAAGAGAAAAAGAAUGGGAUAGAUGUCACAUGUCUAGUUUCUCCCAUUUAAGUUCACCAACCAGGAAGUCACUCCCCUACGGAAGAGUGAAUUGGGGACAGGUACAGUGAGAAGCCAGGAGAGUAUUACACUAAUAGAUGUCAUUCCAUAUGGAAGGAAGACAUUGUGAAUGGAGAGUAAAUGUUUCCCCAACAAACAUAUCCAUAUUUGAACUCAUCACCAUACUCCACAUAUCUGGUCAUCCUCCUAAGGAAUGUCACCAUCACUAUCUAUAAUAGUAACUUAGACACCUGUGGAUAAUCAAGACUCAUGUAGCUUGCCAUCUUGCUAAAUGUUACCACUGUCUACCUCAGCACUCAUGCUAGGAACCUGGCCUACUCAUUUAUCCCCACUCAGUGCUGUGAAUUCUACCACCUUAAUGGCGCUAACAUCUAUCCCCUCCUCUAUUCCCACUGCCAAUGCCUUAAUGUUCUUAUCACUUGUCUGAGUACUGCAAUGGCCUAAAAAUGGGUCUCCCUGCCCCAAGCCUUGCUUUUCCUGACCAUUUUCACUUUCUACUUUUACUCCUGAAGCUGCCUUUGCCUGGAAUUAAGUCCUUCCCAAUCUGUCUCCUCCAACACCCGCACGGGUGGUCCCCUACCUUGCUCCAGCACCGGGGAUAACUGACUCUCCUACAUCAGCUAGAGUCAGACCUGCAUCCGGAUUUCUACGACUCUUACCUAUCUAGAUAGACAAAUUUAUUUUUUGAGACAGUGUCUUGCUCUCACUGCAGAGGCUGGAGUGCAGCGGCGCGAUCACGGUUCACUGCAAUCUUGAACUCCCCAGGUUCAAGCGAUCCUCCCACCUCAGCCUCCCGAGUAUCUGUGACUACAGGCGCGUGCCAUCAUGCCCAUCUAGUUUUUGUCUUUUUUGUAGAGACGGGGUUUCACUAUGUUACCCAGGCUGGUCUCGAACUCCUGAGCUCAAGCGAUCCGCCCACCUCGGCCUCCCAAAGUGUUGGGAUUACAGGCGUGAGCCACAAUAGGCUUUAUACUUACAAAGUACCUUUGCAUACCUUAUUUCAUUUUCACCUCACAAUUCUCCAGCGUAGGCUGGACCGGUAUUAUUAUGCCCAUUUACAUACAGAGGAAACUGAGAGUCAAGGCUGGGCCAGUCACACCCUGCUGCGAAGUUAACGAGCGUCACUUAGCAGCCUCGACAUUAACCGCGCUCUCAGCCCUUUCCGGUCCUACUCCUUGGAGAACAUUCCUGCACCUCCAAGAACUGGCCGAUAGGGUCUGCGGCGGUCCGGACAAGGUCACUCCACAGGCGCCUAGGACCUUCCCAUCCGUAGU
ensembl:lncRNA